rnacentral:rRNA from 1 species
GGCGGACGGGUGAGUAACGCGUGGGUAACCUGCCCUUAAGUGGGGGACAACAGUUGGAAACGACUGCUAAUACCGCAUAAAGUUAAGAGUUCACAUGGACUUUUAACCAAAGGAGUAAUCCGCUUUUGGAUGGACCCGCGUCUGAUUAGCUAGUUGGUGAGGUAACGGCUCACCAAGGCGACGAUCAGUAGCCGGCCUGAGAGGGUGAACGGCCACACUGGGACUGAGACACGGCCCAGACUCCUACGGGAGGCAGCAGUGGGGAAUCUUCCGCAAUGGACGAAAGUCUGACGGAGCAACGCCGCGUGAGGGAUGAAGGCCUUCGGGUUGUAAACCUCUGUCUUCAGGGAAGAAAACAAUGACGGUACCUGAGGAGGAAGCCCCGGCUAACUACGUGCCAGCAGCCGCGGUAAUACGUAGGGGGCGAGCGUUAUCCGGAAUCAUUGGGCGUAAAGGGCGCGUAGGCGGAUAUUUAAGUCAGGUGUGAAAACCCAGGGCUCAACCCUGGAUCUGCAUCUGAUACUGGGUAUCU